ACAUGCAAGUCGAGCGAACUGAUUAGAAGCUUGCUUCUAUGACGUUAGCGGCGGACGGGUGAGUAACACGUGGGCAACCUGCCUGUAAGACUGGGAUAACUUCGGGAAACCGAAGCUAAUACCGGAUAGGAUCUUCUCCUUCAUGGGAGAUGAUUGAAAGAUGGUUUCGGCUAUCACUUACAGAUGGGCCCGCGGUGCAUUAGCUAGUUGGUGAGGUAACGGCUCACCAAGGCAACGAUGCAUAGCCGACCUGAGAGGGUGAUCGGCCACACUGGGACUGAGACACGGCCCAGACUCCUACGGGAGGCAGCAGUAGGGAAUCUUCCGCAAUGGACGAAAGUCUGACGGAGCAACGCCGCGUGAGUGAUGAAGGCUUUCGGGUCGUAAAACUCUGUUGUUAGGGAAGAACAAGUACAAGAGUAACUGCUUGUACCUUGACGGUACCUAACCAGAAAGCCACGGCUAACUACGUGCCAGCAGCCGCGGUAAUACGUAGGUGGCAAGCGUUAUCCGGAAUUAUUGGGCGUAAAGCGCGCGCAGGCGGUUUCUUAAGUCUGAUGUGAAAGCCCACGGCUCAACCGUGGAGGGUCAUUGGAAACUGGGGAACUUGAGUGCAGAAGAGAAAAGCGGGAAUUCCACGUGUAGCGGUGAAAUGCGUAGAGAUGUGGAGGAACACCAGUGGCGAAGGCGGCUUUUUGGUCUGUAACUGACGCUGAGCGCGAAAGCGUGGGGAGCAAACAGGAUUAAUACCCUGGUAGUCCACGCCGUAAACGAUGAUGCUAAUGUUAGAGGGGUUCCGCCCUUUAAUUGCUGG
rnacentral:rRNA from 1 species